rnacentral:rRNA from 1 species
GACGAACGCUGGCGGCGUGCUUAACACAUGCAAGUCGAGCGGAAAGGCCCUUCGGGGUACUCGAGCGGCGAACGGGUGAGUAACACGUGAGUAACCUGCCCUAGACUUUGGGAUAACCCUCGGAAACGGGGGCUAAUACCGGAUACUCCUUCUAAAUCGCAUGAUUUGGUGGGGAAAGUUUUUCGGUCUGGGAUGGGCUCGCGGCCUAUCAGCUUGUUGGUGGGGUAAUGGCCUACCAAGGCGAGGACGGGUAGCCGGCCUGAGAGGGCGACCGGCCACACUGGGACUGAGACACGGCCCAGACUCCUACGGGAGGCAGCAGUGGGGAAUAUUGCACAAUGGGCGGAAGCCUGAUGCAGCGACGCCGCGUGAGGGAUGACGGCCUUCGGGUUGUAAACCUCUUUCAGCAGGGACGAAGCGUAAGUGACGGUACCUGCAGAAGAAGCGCCGGCCAACUACGUG